GAUGAACGCUAGCUACAGGCUUAGCACAUGCAAGUCGAGGGGCAGCAUGAUUGAAGCUUGCUUCAAUUGAUGGCGACCGGCGCACGGGUGAGUAACACGUAUCCAACCUUCCGUACACUCAGGGAUAGCCUUUCGAAAGAAAGAUUAAUACCUGAUGGUAUCUUAAGCACACAUGUAAUUAAGAUUAAAGAUUUAUCGGUGUACGAUGGGGAUGCGUUCCAUUAGGUAGUAGGCGGGGUAACGGCCCACCUAGCCUACGAUGGAUAGGGGUUCUGAGAGGAAGGUCCCCCACAUUGGAACUGAGACACGGUCCAAACUCCUACGGGAGGCAGCAGUGAGGAAUAUUGGUCAAUGGACGAGAGUCUGAACCAGCCAAGUAGCGUGAAGGAUGAAGGUCCUACGGAUUGUAAACUUCUUUUAUAAGGGAAUAAAACCUCCCACGUGUGGGAGCUUGUAUGUACCUUAUGAAUAAGCAUCGGCUAACUCCGUGCCAGCCGCCGCCGUAA
rnacentral:rRNA from 1 species